rnacentral:tRNA from 1 species
AGAGGCGUAGCUUAGUGACAGAGCAUGUGCUUAGUGAGCAUAAGGCUCUGGAUUUAAUCCCCAGCACCUCCU